rnacentral:snRNA from 1 species
UAGUACUGCAGCUCUUUUGUAGUUUGACUAGUAGGUUUUCUGGUUUUCACCUAAACCCCC